AUGUGCCCACCGCUGGGCUGCCUGCAGCGUUACCCCGGCAGCCAAGGUGGGGCGGCCACCGGAGGUCUGCCCGCCGCGAACGAGAGCAUUGCACGCACACGCGCACGCACACGCACACGGCCGAAUGCGAGCGACCUUUGGAAAGGAGGAGAGCCCGCACCGGGGGACAACACGGUUCAACUGAGGACACGGUGUGAGGCCAAACAAACCAGAGCACCAGGUGAUUCCACCUACGGGUGGAAUCCCUGCCAGCAGAGCACAGAGCCCUGGGGCGGCGGAGGGGGACGGUACCCACAGGUGGCGCAGUCCCCGGUACGGGCCAGGAGGCCCCGGGCUCUGCCUACCGACCGUGCGGUGGCCGUGUGUCCCGCUCCGACGUCGAGCGCCAUCAGGGAAGGCAGCACGGGGCUCUCGGGCCACAGGCCAAGCACGUCUCAGGCCGAGCAGACGGGGCGGUGUGUCCAGGCCCCGAGUCUUGUCCGCGUGGCCACGCCAUCAGCAGCCGGCGGGUCGUCAACGGAUGGAAGGCUGCUCAGAUUUCGGGUUGAGGGAGGCCCCACGAUGUGAACACCCCCGCGUUUACCCCCCUCCUCUACACGUGACGUGAACUAUGAAGUCAGCACCGACUCAAUUCAUCUUUCCGAAGCGGUUCCUAACGACGACAAGCCAACGGCACUUCGCCCCCGGAGGUGUGUGCAAGAUAAAAUAAGCCUCAUCUACGUGCGUGAAAAAUACACACGCAUUAGGUAUUCAAACAAAGGAGAGUAGGAUUAGUCUUCUGGAGGCAUCGUGCCCUCGGUGGCGUACAGGCGGAGGUGGUCUUGUGCGUAUUUACACGGCCGGCUUCGGCACCUAAUAGAUCUUUCGUAUCUUAUAACUCAGAAGCACGGAGGAAAGGAAGGUGCAGAGAUGGAGCCGUGUGGACAGAAUGCACUUCUGCAGAACUGUCUGCCGGUCGUAACUAAAUCUACGCGGCAGCCGCUUGGCCGACGCUGGUGAGGACGUGCAGCCUCGAGGUCUCCGGGGAGGCACCCGCGGGGGCACAGCUGGCCGGCCAGGAGGUGCGGGCUUUUCGCUGGGACCCCCGGCCUCAUGCCGACCAGUGGUGGGAUGGCUCGUGGGGCAGCACCCAGGCCCUCCUGCACCGCACGUCCCAGCGUGGCUCAGCGCAGGGACUUGGUGACCCCCCGAUCCUGCCAGGCAGCCCCCAACCCUAGGAAGCUCCCAUGAGGAUGUCAAGGUGAAACGGCGGCUGGGGAGUCAGAGCGUCACAUCUCAACAGGGCCUUGGGCUCCUCCAGGACAGGUGAGUGACGGCUCUGGUUCUUGGCCCGACCCGAGUCACGGCUGGUGAGAGGCAGUGGGCUUCCCGCUGGGCUCGUCCCCGGCCGCCGGGCGUCUCUCUGGCGGCCUUGCUGCCCGCUGGCGCCGCUCCUGCCCGGCUCCCUGCCAGUCCCGUAGGCCCGGUGAGCCCCCGGCAUCCCCGCAGGCCGCGCAGCCGUCCCUUCCUGCACUAGCCGCCGUGUGCUCCGUAUCCCGCCAUCUGUGCUGAGAACCCUCCCUCAGGACAACUGUCGCCAGAGUACUUGCAGGUACAGCCGACGUGGGCUUCACGGCCGGGUGGCUUGGCCUUAGGGGCUGGGGCACAGGACCCGGCUGUCCCCCGCAUUUAGGGGGAAGCGCCUCCGGGAGCCGAGGCUUUGGCACACCAGGCAGCUGCACUGCAAAGCCAUUAGGACGGGCACGAGGAACGCAAGCGCCGCUGAGCAGGCUGGUGGCCUCUAAUUAUGAUGAGAAACAAAAAUAAAACAAGCUCAAAGCUAAAAACUCUCA
rnacentral:lncRNA from 12 species